rnacentral:rRNA from 1 species
CGAACGCUGGCGGCAGGCCUAAUACAUGCAAGUCGAACGGUUCUUCGGAGCAGUGGCGGACGGGUGAGUAACGCGUGGGAAUGUGCCCUUAGGUACGGAACAACACAGGGAAACUUGUGCUAAUACCGUAUGUGCCCUUCGGGGGAAAGAUUUAUCGCCUUUGGAGCAGCCCGCGUUGGAUUAGGUAGUUGGUGAGGUAAAGGCUCACCAAGCCGACGAUCCAUAGCUGGUCUGAGAGGACGACCAGCCACACUGGGACUGAGACACGGCCCAGACUCCUACGGGAGGCAGCAGUAGGGAAUCUUGCGCAAUGGGCGAAAGCCUGACGCAGCCAUGCCGCGUGUAUGAUGAAGGUCUUAGGAUUGUAAAAUACUUUCACCGGGGAAGAUAAUGACGGUACCCGGAGAAGAAGCCCCGGCUAACUUCGUGCCAGCCGCCGCAGUAA